UGGGGAAUAUUGCACAAUGGACGGAAGUUUGAUGCAGCGACGCCGCGUGGAGGGUGUAGGCCUUCGGGUUGUGAACUCCUUUUUCUCGCGAAAAAGGCUCAGUUUUGGCUGUGUUGAUGGUAGUGGGGGAAGAAGCGCCGGCUAACUACGUGCCAGCAGCCGCGGUAAUACGUAGGGCGCGAGCGUUGUCCGGAAUUAUUGGGCGUAAAGGGCUUGUAGGUGGCUGGUUGCGUCUGUCGUGAAAGCUCAUGGCUUAACUGUGGGUUUGCGGUGGGUACGGGCUGGCUUGAGUGCAGUAGGGGAGGCUGGAAUUCCUGGUGUAGCGGUGGAAUGCGCAGAUAUCAGGAGGAAUACCGGUGGCGAAGGCGGGUCUCUGGGCUGUUACUGACGCUGAGGAGCGAAAGCGUGGGGAGCGAACAGG
rnacentral:rRNA from 1 species